rnacentral:tRNA from 1 species
UCCCUGAUGGUCCAGUGGCUAAGACUCCAUGCUCCCAGUGUAGGGGGCCCAGGUUCAAUCCCUUGUCAGGGAA